rnacentral:rRNA from 1 species
AUGGCGAUGGAGAUGCUGGAUGUGGACGAAGCGGCGUGUGCAAAGUACUUCACCAUGAUGUUGGAUGUAAUGGCUCACACUUGGUUAAAAAGUCUGCCUGUUAAUUCGGUCGGUUCAUGGGAUGAGUUGAAGACCCGGUUUAUAGCAAUCUUCAAAGACACGUGCAAGCAACCCAUGUCAAUCGUGGAUCUGGCCGAUUGUGUCCAAGGAGAAGGCGAAUCAACGACUCAUUGGGUGUGCCGGGUUUCGGAAAUCCUGCAUUCGUCGGACCGCAUCAACGCUGACUUGACAAUCAUAACAUUGGAGGGCAAUUGCUGGUUUAAGCUAUUGAAGUUGAAGUUGGGACGACCCAAGCGUCACUGCAAUGACAUGCGAACACUUAUGGCAGCAUUGGUUAAGUAUGCUGAUUCUGAUAAUUCCAAGGAUCCCUAG